rnacentral:rRNA from 1 species
UACAGAGGGUGCGAGCGUUGUCCGGAAUUACUGGGCGUAAAGCGUGCGCAGGCGGUUAUUUAAGUCAGGUGUGAAAGCCCUGGGCUUAACCUAGGAAUUGCGCUUGAGACUGGAUAGCUUGGAGUGCGGCAGAGGGAGGUGGAAUUCCACGUGUAGCAGUGAAAUGCGUAGAGAUGUGGAGGAACACCGAUGGCGAAGGCAGCCUCCUGGGCCAGCACUGACGCUCAUGCACGAAAGCGUGGGGAGAAAACAGG